AGGCUCUCAAGGUGGUCUCGGGUCAAGAGGUCUCCUGUUCUUGUUUCCCGUAAACAUGAGGACCCCUGUACACCCCUGUAUCAAAUGUUCAUGGUGUAAUAAUUACUUCCCGUUGUCCGCACUCGUAGCUCAUAGGGCGGCCUGCCUUCCAGAGGGCCUUGGGACUGGAUCGAAAGAUAUAUCUACUAGAAACAAUGAAGAGACGUCGUCGACUAGCUCUGAUCGAUCAGAUGUCGGUUUCUCUCAACCAGACCCCAGCGAUAUUGGAAGUUGUUCUCCACGGGCGGGUCUCAGCGACGAAGCCAGUCAAAACCAAAGGACUAUCUCCGAAGAAGGCGGGUCUGGUAGGCUCAGCCAUUGGCCCUCCUCUUCAACGAUCGGUAGUGGAGGAAAACGAAAACAAGCGAAUACAGGAACAAACGGUAA